CGGAACGUACCAUUCAGUGGGGGAUAACGUAGCGAAAGUUACGCUAAUACCGCAUAUUCUGUGGGCAGGAAAGCAGGGGAUCGCAAGACCUUGCGCUGAUUGAGCGGCCGACAUCAGAUUAGCUUGUUGGUGAGGUAAAAGCUCACCAAGGCGACGAUCUGUAGCGGGUCUGAGAGGAUGAUCCGCCACACUGGAACUGAGACACGGUCCAGACUCCUACGGGAGGCAGCAGUGGGGAAUUUUGGACAAUGGGGGCAACCCUGAUCCAGCCAUGCCGCGUGAGUGAAGAAGGCCUUCGGGUUGUAAAGCUCUUUCAGCCGGGAAGAAAACGCAUGGGUUAAUACCCUGUGUGGAUGACGGUACCGGAAUAAGAAGCACCGGCUAACUACGUGCCAGCAGCCGCGGUAAUACGUAGGGUGCGAGCGUUAAUCGGAAUUACUGGGCGUAAAGCGUGCGCAGGCGGUUUUGUAAGACAGGCGUGAAAUCCCCGGGCUUAACCUGGGAACUGCGUUUGUGACUGCAAGGCUAGAGUACGGCAGAGGGGGGUGAAUUCCACGUGUAGCAGAGAAAUGCGUAGAGAUGUGGAGGAACACCAAUGGCGAAGGCAGCCCCCUGGGUCGAUACUGACGCUCAUGCACGAAAGCGUGGGUAGCAAACAGGAUUAGAUACCCUGGUAGUCCACGCCCUAAACGAUGUCAACUAGGUGUUGGGAGGGUAAAACCUUUUAGUACCGGAGCUAACACGUGAAGUUGACCGCCUGGGGAGUACGGCCGCAAGGUUAAAACUCAAAGGAAUUGACGGGGACCCGCACAAGCGGUGGAUGAUGUGGAUUAAUUCGAUGCAACGCGAAAAACCUUACCUACCCUUGACAUGCCAAGAACUUUCCAGAGAUGGAUUGGUGCCCGAAAGGGAACUUGGACACAGGUGCUGCAUGGCUGUCGUCAGCUCGUGUCGUGAGAUGUUGGGUUAAGUCCCGCAACGAGCGCAACCCUUGUCGUUAAUUGCCAUCAUUUAGUUGGGCACUUUAACGAGACUGCCGGUGACAAACCGGAGGAAGGUGGGGAUGACGUCAAGUCCUCAUGGCCCUUAUGGGUAGGGCUUCACACGUCAUACAAUGGUCGGUACAAAGGGUCGCCAAGCCGCGAGGUGGAGCCAAUCCCAGAAAGCCGAUCGUAGUCCGGAUCGCAGUCUGCAACUCGACUGCGUGAAGUCGGAAUCGCUAGUAAUCGUGGAUCAGAAUGUCACGGUGAAUACGUUCCCGGGUCUUGUACACACCGCCCGUCACACCAUGGGAGCGGGUUCCGCCAGAAGUAGGUAGCCUAACCGCAAGGAGGGCGCUUACCACGGCGGGGUUCGUGACUGGGGUGAAGUCGGAACAAGGUA
rnacentral:rRNA from 1 species